rnacentral:rRNA from 1 species
GACGAACGCUGGCGGCGUGCUUAACACAUGCAAGUCGAACGGAAAGGCCCUGCUUUUGUGGGGUGCUCGAGUGGCGAACGGGUGAGUAACACGUGAGUAACCUGCCCUUGACUUUGGGAUAACUUCAGGAAACUGGGGCUAAUACCGGAUAGGAGCUCCUGCUGCAUGGUGGGGGUUGGAAAGUUUCGGCGGUUGGGGAUGGACUCGCGGCUUAUCAGCUUGUUGGUGGGGUAGUGGCUUACCAAGGCUUUGACGGGUAGCCGGCCUGAGAGGGUGACCGGCAAAAUGGGGACGGGAAUACGGCCAGGAUCCUAAGGGGGGGAAGCGUGGGGGAAAUUGGCAAAUGGGGGGAAGGCCUAUGGAGGAACGGCGGCGGGGGGAAGAAGGGCUUUGGGUUUGAAACCCGCUUUCGCCUGUAAGGAGCGGUAGGUGAGGGAAAUGGGAAAGAAGCACCGGCUAACUACGUG